GACGAACGCUGGCGGCGUGCUUAACACAUGCAAGUCGAACGGAAAGGCCCUGCUUUUGUGGGGUGCUCGAGUGGCGAACGGGUGAGUAACACGUGAGUAACCUGCCCUUGACUUUGGGAUAACUUCAGGAAACUGGGGCUAAUACCGGAUAGGAGCUCCUGCUGCAUGGUGGGGGUUGGAAAGUUUCGGCGGUUGGGGAUGGACUCGGGGCUUAUCAGCUUGUUGGUGGGGUAGUGGCUUACCAAGGCUUUGACGGGUAGCCGGCCUGAGAGGGUGACCGGGCACAUUAGGACUGCGAGACGGAGCAGACGGCUACGGGAGGCAGCAGUGGGGAAUAUUGCACAAUGGGCGGAAGCCUGAUGAAGAAACGCUGCGUGCGGGAUGAAGGCCUUCGGGGUGUAAACCGCUUUAGGCUGUGACGAAGCGUGAGUGACGGUAAUGGGUAAAGAAGCACCGGCUAACUACGUG
rnacentral:rRNA from 1 species